UAGACACAAAAGAGCAUCGACUUUUCGAACGCACAUUGCGGUAUCGGGCCUGCUCGAUACCACGCCUAUCUGAGGGUCGAAU
rnacentral:rRNA from 1 species